rnacentral:rRNA from 1 species
AUUGAACGCUGGCGGCAGGCCUAACACAUGCAAGUCGAGCGGCAGCGGAAAGUAGCUUGCUACUUUGCCGGCGAGCGGCGGACGGGUGAGUAAUGUCUGGGAAACUGCCUGAUGGAGGGGGAUAACUACUGGAAACGGUAGCUAAUACCGCAUGACCUCGAAAGAGCAAAGUGGGGGAUCUUCGGACCUCACGCCAUCGGAUGUGCCCAGAUGGGAUUAGCUAGUAGGUGAGGUAAUGGCUCACCUAGGCGACGAUCCCUAGCUGGUCUGAGAGGAUGACCAGCCACACUGGAACUGAGACACGGUCCAGACUCCUACGGGAGGCAGCAGUGGGGAAUAUUGCACAAUGGGCGCAAGCCUGAUGCAGCCAUGCCGCGUGUGUGAAGAAGGCCUUAGGGUUGUAAAGCACUUUCAGCGAGGAGGAAGGCAUCAUACUUAAUACGUGUGGUGAUUGACGUUACUCGCAGAAGAAGCACCGGCUAACUCCGUGCCAGCAGCCGCGGUAAUACGGAGGGUGCAAGCGUUAAUCGGAAUUACUGGGCGUAAAGCGCACGCAGGCGGUUUGUUAAGUCAGAUGUGAAAUCCCCGCGCUUAACGUGGGAACUGCAUUUGAAACUGGCAAGCUAGAGUCUUGUAGAGGGGGUAGAAUUCCGGGUGUAACGGUGAAAAGCGUAGAGAUCUGUAGGAUUCUUUUGGUGUAAUGCGGGCGCA